GUUGUCCGGAAUUACUGGGCGUAAAGCGCGUGUAGGUGGUGGGACAAGUCUGAUGUGAAAGCGCCUGGCUUAACCGGGCGAGGUCGGCGGAAACUGUUCGACUCGAGGACGGUAGAGGGGGGUGGAAUUCCGCGUGUAGCAGUGAAAUGCGUAGAUAUGCGGAGGAACACCGAUGGCGAAGGCAAUCCCCUGGGCCGGCACUGACGCUCAUGCACGAAAGCGUGGGGAGCAAACAGG
rnacentral:rRNA from 1 species